rnacentral:rRNA from 1 species
UCCGGUUGAUCCCGCCGGAGGUCACUGCUAUCUGAAUCCGACUAAGCUAUGCAAGUCUUCUCGAAAGGGAGGCGAACAGCUCAGUAAUACAUAGUUAAUUUGCCCUUAGGUCAGGAAUAAUCCCGAGAAAUUGGGUUCAAUACCUGAUAGGUAAAGAGUCCUGGAAUGGUUCUUUAUCCAAAGUUUCGGCGCCUAAGGAUAAGACUGUGUCCCAUCAGGUUGUUGGGAGGGUAACGUCCUCUCAAGCCUAUAACGGGUACGAGCCUUGAGAGAGGGAGCUCGGAGAUGGAUUCUGAGACAAAAAUCCAGGUCCUACGGGGUGCAGCAAGCGCGAAAAUUCCACAAUGCACGAAAGUGUGAUGGAGGGAUUCAGAGUGCUUCUUUCAUUUCGGAAGGAGCUUUUGUUAAGUCUAAACCGCUUAUCGAAUAAGCGGUGGGUAAGACAGGUGCCAGCCGCCGCGGUAAUACCUGCGCCGCAAGUGGUGACCUCGUUUAUUGGGUUUAAAGUGUCCGUAGCCGGUUUGGUAAGUUUCUAAUGAAAUUCCAUGGACAACUAUGGAGAUUGUUGGGGAUACUACUAGACUAGAGACCGGGAGAGGCCAAGGGUAUUUCUGGGGUAAGGGUUAAAUCUUGUAAUCCUAGGAGGACCGCCUGUGGCGAAGGCGCUUGGCUAGAACGGAUCUGACGGUGAGGGACGAAAGCUAGGGGAGCGAAGCGGAUUAGAUACCCGCGUAGUCCUAGCCGUAAACGAUAUCCACUAGAUGUUGGAUGUCUCACGAGGGCAUCCAGUUUCGUAGGGAAACUGUUAAGUGGAUCGCCUGGGGAGUACGGUCGCAAGUCUGAAACUUAAGGGAAUUGGCGGGGGAGCACACAAGGGGUGGAGGCUGCGGUUUAAUUCGAUUCAACGCGAGGAACCUCACCAGAAGCGACAGCAGAAUGAAGGUCAGGCUGAUGGUCUUACCAGACACGCUGAGCGGAGCUGCAUGGCCGUCGUCAGUUCGUGUUGUGAAGUGUCCUGUUAAGUCAGGUAACGAACGAGACCCGUGCCCUACGUUACUACUGUCACAUCCGUGGCAGGUACUCAUAGGGGACCGCUUGCGAUAAGUAAGAGGAAGGAACGGUCAACGGCAGGUCAGUAUGGUCUUAAUCUUCUGGGUUACACGCGGCCUACAACGGUUGGGACAAUGAGAUGUGACUCCGAAAGGAGAAACUAAUCUCCAAACCCAAUCAUAGUUCGGAUUGAGGGCUGCAACUCGCCCUCAUGAAGCCGAAAUCCCUAGUAAUCGCUUGUCACCAUCCAGCGGUGAAUAUGUUCCUGCUCCUUGCACACACUGCCCGUCAAGCCAACUGAGUGGGGUUUUGGCGAGGCUCUGGCAUUUUGCUAGAUCCAAGCCACGGUUCUGCAAAGUGGGCUAAGUCGUAACAAGGUA